GACCACAGACGAGUUGUUCUCAAAGUGUGGGCCCCACCGGCGGUAGCAGCAUGCCCUGGGAACUUAUUAGAAAUACAGAUUCUCAGCCCACCCUGGACUUCUCAAAUCAGAAACUCUGGGGGUAAGACCCAGCGACCUGUAUUUUAACAAGCCCUCCAGGAUUCUGAUGCACACUCAGGUUCAAGAACCACUGCCCUAGACUAUUCCAGAGAUUCUCAUUCUACAACAAAGUACAAGUGUGUUCUACUGGUUUUGAAGGGGGUCCUCCCUGAAAUUCCUCCAGAAGGGGGAAACAUGAUGGUAGAAGAAAAGAACCCUACUGAAGGGACAACAGCUCCUACCACCAUCCCUCAGGCUCCAACUAAUACCACAGGAAAGCCCCUCAUAAUGUAACAUGAGAUGGGGACAACUCUCGGUCUGUCGCUAUGGGUGAUGAGCACCAUGACACUGAGUGAUUUCCCUUACGGUAUAUUCCCAGGAGUCGUGUUGCUGUGUCAAAGGGUGUACACAGCUGAAUGUGGAUACAGACUGCCAAACCCUCCCAAGAUACUGAAGUUUAGAAGAUUUUAUCACAUUUCCGGAGCCAAAGUCCUAUCCGCACCCCCCCUCCAAAUUCAACUGCACUGAAUUUAUACAUAGAUUGAGAAGACUCAAAGAAAAAUACAGCUCAUUUAUUCAUAUUUACAUCCUCCCCUCAAAUGUAGUAUCUAAUGUGGAAAAAAAAAAAAAAAGAGCCAUAACCCUUUAUCCCAGAGAUGUUCACAUUCUCAAGCUAUUUACAAUGUACCUCUUUUAAAUGCAAGAUUUUUCUUUGUGCUGUAACAAUGUUUAGCAAAGGAAUACUAAGGGCAUUACACUUGGAGUGUUUCCAGAGUUCCAAACAACUAUCUCUAUUAUCUGGAUGGUACAAAUCGCAUACCCUUGUAAGAUGUAUCAUUCACGGAGGAUGACUCUUGUACCUCCAAGGCCAGUACUGAAGAAAUGGAGCCUCACACUGUCGGGCGUCCCCUGGAGGAUCAUUAGGAGUGAUGCUAACCAGACCUGCCUUCACACAUUUUAAAUGGCCGUGAGGCCACAUCGCUGCAGCCUGCUCAGUGCCGUCUGGAGUUCAUGAAUCAUUCUCUACAGGACACAGGUCAUAGCUUCCAAACCACAGCCCCACAUCCCGGGCAGUGGUCCAACAAGGAGCAGGAGAUGUGACAGUAUUGCCAGGCACGUGCUGAGCGAGAGGCACCUACCCUCAGAACAAAAAGCACCCCUCCUGGAGCUAGGAAGGGACCACCAGCCUCCCCGUAGGCCAGUGAGCCAGAAAUACUGUCAACAUUUGAAGAACACAGACCACUGCUCUCUCCAGAACAUGAGACCAUUGGCUUCACGCUUUGGAUUUCCAGACACAGGUGGCCAGAGAAACCUUAACUGCGGAAUAUUUGCUGAUCUCAUCCACGGUUAGCGAAACGGUGGCCUGCAGGGCAGAUUUGGCCCACAGAUGUGUUUUCUUUGGCCUCAACAAUGUUGGAUCACUUUUUGGAACCAACACGUAACAAUUUAAAGAGUUCCUGUAUUUUCUCUUAAAAAUGUAAGUCUGGGCCACACCAAGCCUGCAAUCCUGCAAAGCAACACUCAGUGAGAGCGGAAUGGGUCAGCAUGCUUCUGUGACUUGUGGGACGAGGGUUUGCCACUCCAGCCUGCAGCUUCCUUGUGCCCAGCAGUUUCUGAUUUAACUCUAAUUUAGAAAGUGCCCAGAUCUCUAAGCUAACAAAAUAUCUCAGGUUUUUAUCUCUAUUACCAAUACUUCCUUUCUUUUUUUUUUUUUUGCGAGACACAGAGAUAGAGA